CGACCGCUGGCGGCGUGCUUAACACAUGCACGUCGAACGGAAAGGCCCUGCUUUUGUGGGGUGCUCGAGUGGCGAACGGGUGAGUAACACGUGAGUAACCUGCCCUUGACUUUGGGAUAACUUCAGGAAACUGGGGCUAAUACCGGAUAGGAGCUCCUGCUGCAUGGUGGGGGUUGGAAAGUUUCGGCGGUUGGGGAUGGACUCGCGGCUUAUCAGCUUGUUGGUGGGGUAGUGGCUUACCAAGGCUUUGACGGGUAGCCGGCCUGAGAGGGUGACCGGCCACAUUGGGACUGAGAGACGGCCCAGACUCCUACGGGAGGCAGCAGUGGGGAAUAUUGCACAAUGGGCGGAAGCCUGAUGCAGCAACGCCGCGUGCGGGAUGACGGCCUUCGGGUUGUAAACCGCUUUCGCCUGUGACGAAGCGUGAGUGACGGUAAUGGGUAAAGAAGCACCGGCUAACUACGUG
rnacentral:rRNA from 1 species